rnacentral:rRNA from 1 species
CUUGGUCAUUUAGAGGAAGUAAAAGUCGUAACAAGGUUUCCGUAGGUGAACCUGCGGAAGGAUCAUUCAUAAUAAGUGUUUUAUGGCACUUUUUAAAUCCAUAUCCACCUUGUGUGCAAUGUCAGUCGAUCUUCUUCAUGGAGAUCGGCCAAACAUCAACCAUAUCUUUUAACUCUUUGUCUGAAAAAUAUUAUGAAUAAACAAUUCAAAAUACAACUUUCAACAACGGAUCUCUUGGCUCUCGCAUCGAUGAAGAACGCAGCGAAAUGCGAUACGUAAUGUGAAUUGCAGAAUUCAGUGAAUCAUCGAAUCUUUGAACGCAUAUUGCGCUCUUUGGUAUUCCGAAGAGCAUGCUUGUUUGAGUAUCAGUAAACACCUCAAAGCUUUUGAUUAUUUUUUUUUGAAAGCUUUGGACUUGAGCAAUCCCAACACCAAUCUUUUUUAGAUCGGAGGCGGGUUGCUUGAAAUGCAGGUGCAGCUGGACAUUCUCCUGAGCUAAAAGCAUAUUCAUUUAGUCCCGUCAAACGGAUUAUUACUUUUGCUGCAGCUAACAUAAAGGGAGUUUGACCGUAUUGGCUGACUGAUGCAGGAUUUCACAAGGGUCGGUAACGAUUCUUGUUAAACUCGAUCUCAAAUCAAGUAAGACUACCCGCUGAACUUAAGCAUAUCAAUAAGCGGAG